UUGUAUAAGAGCAGCUUUCACUUGCGAGAGGUUGGGGAAGUCUACUUCAAAGACACUGCAUUCUUUCAGGCAGCUUAGGCGGUAAGCUGUUGCAUCUAUUCCUGUAAGGUAACCGUCCAUUCUGAAAUUUUGAUUGUUAUGGUUUUAUGCAUUGAAUAUAGUGGAGGCAAAUUAGUUUACAGAGCAGGCACUGACCUGCACCAAGAAGAACGACCUGUGCUCUUCAGUCUUCAAAAAAGUUUGUCGCAGCUUCAAUCCUGGAUCAAACCACAAGGUUCAGACAGCUAGCAUCACACCCGAAACUUCCCGAGCAUUGCCAAGCUGGUCUUUUCUCAUCUUCUCAUGAGGGCUUCGGAGGAAGCUCUCCCCUGCGAGGAUUUCAGCCACUGGAUUGUGGAUGACAUGAUUCCACAAGGCUCGUCCUGCUGCAAUCUGGCACGUGGAGAGUUGGACUGGAUCCUAUUCAUGAUCGAUAGUUGCAUGCAGUGAUCAAAUUGUCUCAGACAUAAGCAGCUCUGGUAACUUGAGCUCCUCCAGCCAUACAGAGUUCACUACAGUGCCUCAAAAGUCUUUCCUCUUCUGACAUGAUCUGGAGAGGACUUCAAAAGCUGUAGAGCAGUAGUAGAGAUGUAGGAAGAAGCAUGAUUUAAAAGUGUUUGGUUUUGUUAGGAGGAGCAGAAAUAGAUCAGAAAAGAGAGUCACACACCCACGCUUGACAAUUUGAAAACAAAAUCCCACCCUCUUUUUCGGGAGAAGGAGAAGGUUACACGGUGGUGCAUGACCUGCUGGGGAUAGAUGUGGUACUGUGGAUAGAACUCAAGGACUGCAGUCAAUCUGGGCCAUCCAUUAGUUCGUUAAAUCUCCUUGAUUGGAGAUUUACCGAUACAGCGUGGGUUUCUUCUAUCCAUCUCACAAUAGGCAUUUGAAUCUAGUUAUAUCAAGUGCUUAGCCAGAAAAGAGGAAAGGUGUGACAAACAUCUGCAUCUUUUGGACUGUUGGAAAGCUUCAUUUGGUGCUGGAAUUUGCCGUCUUCUGGUUGGUGGCCCCAUUAUUAACUUAUGCAACCCACAGCAUAAGAUGUUUAAAGAGUAAAUGAGAAGUGAACUCUAGAGCAAAGAAAAUAACAAAGUAUAAUUAGUGGUUGGAUUAGUGCUUUUGUAAAGAUUACACAGGGAUCCUAAGUUCUGAGGAUGCAAACAGAAUAAUUUUGUGUCCUAUUUUUAUUCUAGAUGCCAUGUUGUAUUAAUAUAUUCCUUCCUCAAGUUCGGGGAUCAGAGUUUAACCUUCUUGGAGCAUUUUUCAAUUUCCUUAAGCAAGAACCUGUUUAUUUUUAUGAUCUUUUAGCUGAAUUAGACUAUUAUAGUGAGAGGUGAGUGCUGUG
rnacentral:lncRNA from 1 species